rnacentral:SRP_RNA from 2 species
AGUCUGGCGGCGGGCAAGCUGCUCGCCAACCCGGUCAGGUCCGGAAGGAAGCAGCCGUAACGAGAUUCGCUUGGGUCGCCUGCCAGCUCCCA